UGACACCCGUCGCAUCCACACGACCCUGCAACUACUUGUUCGUGGUCUUCUGCCAUGGACGACGACAAGAGCGUAGGGUGCGAUCGCUUCCCUAAGAUUUAACAAAAAAGGAUACCGCAAUCUGUCGACAGGGCAGCAGAGGCGCGACCUCGCCGUGCCCGCCACUGCUUCGCAGGGAGGUUACGAGGUCACGAGGUCGGGUGCGACCUCAACCACAUGCAAUUUCAUCCGUGAGGCGGAGCUCGGAAACCUUCGAAGCAAUUUCGUCCGUGUUGGUCGAUCGAUCGAUCGAUCUUCGAGCGUAUUGGACGGUGGUGUGGCAGAUCCGGCGAUGGGGGAGGCGAUCCUUUCAGAUCUUUUCACCAAUGUCCUAAUCACGGUGACGGCCAUCGUUGGGAUCACGUUCGCGCUCUUGCAGUGGAUCUUGGUCUCCAAGGUGUGAUUAUCGCCGGCGGAGGCUGACGCGGAGGGCACCGGCAAGAAUGGGUACUCUGAGUACUUGAUCGACGAGGAGGAGGGGCUCAAUGAUCACAAUGUGGUCGUCAAGUGUGCCGAGAUCCAGAGAGGCAUUUCGGGCUUCAGCACAAAGAGCCAACCCUGCACUUACAACAAGGACAAGACUUGCAAGCCAUCCCUUGCCAAUGCCAUCUUUAUCACAUUGUCUUUCUUACUUGGAGGUUUGGUAUCUGGAUUCCUUGGCAUGAAGAUUGCAACAUAUGCUUAUGCUAGGACAACUCUUGAGGCAAGAAAGGGUGUUGGGAAGACUUUCAUCACUGCAUUCCGAUCAGGCGCUGUCAUGGCCUUUUUGCUAGCCGCUAAUGGACUUUUAGUUCUCUUUAUUUCUAUUAACUUAUUCAAAUUGUAUUAUGGUGAUGACUGGGAAGGUCUUUUUGAGGCUAUCACUAGCUAUGGCCUUGGUGAGUCUUCCAUGGCUCUCUUUGGUAGGGUUGGCGGCGGUACCUAUACCAAAGCUACUGAUGUUGGGGCUGAUCUAGUUGGGAAGGUCGAGAGGAACAUUCCCGAGGAUGAUCCAAGGAACCCAGCUGUUGUUGCCAACAAUGUCGGUGAUAAUGUCGGUGAUAAUGUCGGUGGCAUUGCUGGAAUGGGGUCAGACCUCUUUGGCUCUUAUGCUGAAUCUUCAUGUGAAGCUCUAGUUGUUGCUUCAAUAUCUUCCUUUGGAAUCAACCAUGAUUUGACAGCAAUUGCGUGCCCUCGAACAAGCUGCGAUACUGAUCUUUCAAGUUGCAUUCCACUGAGUUAGGGUUUAAAGAAUUUCAUCAAGAUAGCUAGAGUUCUUUUGCUCAAAAUGCAGAAAUUUGAUGGAGACUACUAUCCUGAGGCUCCUUUGGAACACCAUUAAAGGUUUUCUUGACCCAAAAACAACUUCAAAGAUACAUCCAACUUCUAGAUUUCUUGAGUGACUUAUGCACUUGCUCUAGUAAGGUGGAUGUUUGAAGUUCAACAAAGGGCCAUGGAAUAAUCCCAACAUUAUGGAGCUUGUACAUAAUGUUGAACCAACAUUGUUAAGGCAUACUAGAUGAAUGUCAGAAGGAGAUGAAGCCUUUGUAGGGUCAUAUCUUUUGAGGAUAAGUUUUUUAUCUAACUAUUUUUUUUGUUCCUCAUUUUUCUGGAUACAUUGUGUAAUGUCCUUUAUUGAAAUUUCUUUUUUCCUUCUUUGUUUUUUUGGAUGAAAUAUCCUUAGAAGGAGAUGAAGCCUUUGUAGGGUCAUAUCUUUUGAAGAUAAGUUCUUUUAUCUAGCUUUUUUUUGUUCCUCAUUUUUCUGGAUACAUUGUGUAAUGCCCUUUAUUGAAAUUUCGUUUAUCCUUCUUCAUUUUUUUUGGAUGAAAUAUCCUUUCUUCUUCAUCAUUAGGGAAGAAGUAGCAGUACAUGGGCAAUUGAUUAUGAAUCAAAUAUUGAUAAUCAAGUUCCUAAAACUAUUGAGCAUUGGCAUCUAGCUGCGAAAAAAGAUUUGGGACGAGAAGUUUUUGAAUGAAUGCAUAAAAGAAAGCAAGGUACCCAGUUUAUUGACAACAAAUUGGUAUUCGUAAAGAAAAGCUUAUCGAGAAAGGUAGGAAAAUUGAAGAAAAACUCAAGAAGAUGGUUCGUAAGAUGAUUCAAGAGGUGGAAUAUAUAAUCAUUCAUAUCUAGAAGGAUCUAAUCCCCAUGAGCAUUGUGAUAGAUGAAAUACAUAUUAAAUUAUUGUACUUGGAUUUAAAAAUUUAUCAAUAUCUUACAAUUUGAUUA